rnacentral:rRNA from 1 species
GAUGAACGCCGGCGGCGUGCCUAAUACAUGCGAGUCGAGCGAACAGACGAGGAGCUUGCUCCUCUGACGUUAGCGGCGGACGGGUGAGUAACACGUGGAUAACCUACCUAUAAGACUGGGAUAACUUCGGGAAACCGGAGCUAAUACCGGAUAAUAUAUUGAACCGCAUGGUUCAAUAGUGAAAGACGGUUUUGCCGUCACUUAUAGAUGGAUCCGCGCCGCAUUAGCUAGUUGGUAAGGUAACGGCUUACCAAGGCAACGAUGCGUAGCCGACCUGAGAGGGUGAUCGGCCACACUGGAACUGAGACACGGUCCAGACUCCUACGGGAGGCAGCAGUAGGGAAUCUUCCGCAAUGGGCGAAAGCCUGACGGAGCAACGCCGCGUGAGUGAUGAAGGUCUUCGGAUCGUAAAACUCUGUUAUUAGGGAAGAACAAAUGUGUAAGUAACUAUGCACGUCUUGACGGUACCUAAUCAGAAAGCCACGGCUAACUACGUG